rnacentral:rRNA from 1 species
UACGUAGGGGGCAAGCGUUGUCCGGAAUCAUUGGGCGUAAAGAGCGUGUAGGCGGCCUGGUAAGUCCGCUGUGAAAGUCCAGGGCUCAACCCUGGAAUGCCGGUGGAAACUGUCAGGCUCGAGUCCGGAAGAGGCGAGUGGAAUUCCUGGUGUAGCGGUGAAAUGCGCAGAUAUCGGGAGGAACACCGGUGGCGAAGGCGGUUCUCUGGGCCUGACCUGACGCUGAGGAGCGAAAGCGUGGGGAGCGAACAGG